AAAGCUGCUGCCUCAUUUAGCGAAUGGCAUUCAGACAGCUUUUGGCUAUGUAGCCCAAAUUCUUAAUCCUCCUGUCUCCGUCGUUCCUCACUUAUAGACUUCAAGGGAUUGCACUUGAUGUAUCCAUUACUCUGUUGCUACAGCAAAACGCCAUGGUCAGAGCAACCUAUGGAAGGAGGAGGCUUCUGGAGCUUAGGAUUCCAGAGGAACAAGAGAGCCCACGAUGGCAGAGGAGAGGCCAGGCAACAAGCAGCAGGUGCAGGGCCAAACCCCAACUCCAGUGACACACUUCCCCCAGCAAAGUCACUCUGAACAUCACAGACAGUACCUGCUAGCCUUCUGUCCAAACUCCUCCCCACAGUUACCUGGCAACAGCCAGGUAGGCCUGGCCCACUAUAAAAGGGGCUGCUCGCCAUCUCUGUCUCUCUGUCUCUCUCUCUUGCCUUCUUUCCUUCCUUUCUUGCCUCUUGCUCUCUUGCUCCCUCUCUCUCCCCAUUCCCUUCCCCCACCUCCACGUGGUCAUGUCUGGCCUCUACUUCUGUGGCCCGUAGUCCAUCUCUGUCAAUAAAGUCUUAUUAAUCCACCUCC
ensembl:lincRNA 4930529I22Rik RIKEN cDNA 4930529I22 gene